UGUCUCAUUUAACAAGGUGGGAAAACAUUAACCACUCUAACAGGACAUUAUUAAAAAUAACCCCAGGAAGAACAUAUGCUCCUGCAACUAAAUUUUUUCCACAUUACUUGAUCAAUUGCACUAAUGGGAUAAUAGUUCCCAGUGUUGUACAAUAAGGGAGAAUAUAGAGGAAAUUAAAUGGCAAGCCAGACAGCCGAAGGGGACACCGUGAGUGGCUGAGAGGCACUUGGCAACUUCCAAGAUACGGUAUUCACAAAGAAGUGCACGGGUUGGUGGGUGGAGGUCGCUAACCUACCUGAGAGUGCUCAUUGGUUGCUGGCGGUGAUAUGUCACUGACUCAACGUGACAUUGUUUACAAACUUUGUUGCCUCGCCAAAAAGUAGCCACAGCCAUUACUCAUCAAAAUCUCCAGUCGUCAGUGUUCCAGUCAUGGCCAGCGAACCGUCAAAAAAAAUAAAUAAAUAAGACCUUGGUUCACCGACGCCGAGACCAUAGCCUUGAUGGAGGAGGUAAUUCUGUGAUUCGGUGAUUCUGGGAAGGCUAGAAAACAAAAUCACCGCAAAGAAGAAAAUCAAGGCUUGGGAGGAGGUGACUACGUGCGUCAGCACAGGCAGCCGAGUGGGCAGGUCUUCUGAAGAGCACCGUAGGAAGUUUAAGGACCUGCGAAGCCAUAUUAAGAUCAAGGCUGCUGCAGAGCAAUGCCAUGCUGCAGGCACUGGUGGGAGACCUGCGGCCAACAAAACUUACACUGACAUGGAGCUGGUCGUCCAGUGAAUGCUGUCACCCAUAGCAUUUGCAGGACUGCCAAUCCCUGACAGUGAGGGUGCCGUAUUGGGAUUGUCAGGCCACCACAGCCAUCCACUCACAGUGGUGCUGAAACCAUCCAACCCUCUUCUGGUAGUGUUGCUGGGUCUGGAGGGGCCUCUUUAUUUAGUGGUGCUAUGGGGCAGUCAUCUGAAUUAGUAACAGUGGAUGAGGGCACAACUUGUGAAAUCAUCCAUGUUUCAGAUGACUUCAUCUAGUGCUUUCCGGAUCCAGAUGACAUCCACCCCCCCAGCAGCUUUGCAGCUGCCUGCGGCUCUGCCUACACCUCCCCAACCAUCAGCAGCUUUGCAGCCACCUGCAGCUUUGCCUGCACCUCCCUAGCCACCAGCAGCUGUGCAACCAUCUGCAGCCUUGCUUGCCCUUCCCCAUCCACCAGCAGCUGUGCAGUUGCCUGCAGUGCUGCUUACAUCUCCCCAACCACCUACAGCACCCCAGCCAUCACCACCACCAGUUGUCCAGCAAAAAGUCGCAGCAGAGGGCGCACCCAAACUCUUGCAAGUGGUUGCUCAGACCAUGAACUAUUGGUGCAGGUGAUGGAAUCACAGUGAGCUUUCCAAUUCUCCAUGGACGAGCUUGUGAUGGUGCAGCAGGAACAGGGGGAAGCUAUAUGGCAGGGUAUGCAGGUUCUCCAACAGAUUGCAGGGGCUCAGCAACAGAUGGCUGCAGUGCAACAGCAGGCUCUUCAGCAGAUUGCUGCAUCACAGUAGCAAUGUGUUGAACUUCAAAGACAAUUGAUGCAAUUAUGGUUUAAUAACCAGCAGCAGUAAUAUAAACAUUAUUUAUGUAAAUGUUUAGAAUUACAUUAAAAUUCAUGUAAUUUUUGUAAUAUCUGUUAAAUUUCAUUUCAGUUUUCUACAUAAAAUACUAGUUAUAAGUACUGGACUCCCAGAUUGGGGGUUUAGUACUUAAGGAGGAAAAAAAAAAAAAAAAAGCAUGCCUUGGGGUGUGUUGGAGAUCAGUAACCUGCAGCAACUUUUCUGCAUCCUGGCUUAUUGUGCAAUAAUAUCUUGUGAUAAUUCAUUCUGUUUACGAAUAUGGCUAAACCAAAGAGUAUUCAUCUGAGAGUAUUGUGCAGAUCAUGUGCCUCAAGGAAGCAGGUCAUUCGGUGAGAGAACUGAACAGUUGGCAGCAUCCAGGACAAGUAUUGGUCAUGGCUGUUCAGGGAGGAGGGGAAUUUUGAUAUGCCUGAACCUAAAAAAACAGUCUGGGUGCCCCUGGAAGAUAAAUAAGAGGGCUGUUACUGUCCUAAAGCAUGCAGUGGUCUUGACAUCAGACUCCACUGCAUGUUUUAAGACAGUAACAACCCUCUUAUUUGUCUUCCAGGGGCACCCAGACCAUUUCUUUGGUUCAGGCAUAUCAUGAUUCCUCCUCCCUGAAUUGUUGUGACCAAUGCUUGACUUGUCCUUGAUGCUUCCAACUGUUCACUUAUUUCUUUCACUAAUUGACCUGCUUUCUUGAGGCUCAUGAUCAGAUGAAUACUCUUUCGGUUUAACCGUAUUAGUAAACAGAAUGAAUUAUCACAAUAUGUUAUUGCAUAACAUAUUGCGUAUACACCAUGAUGGGGAAAAGUUGCAGGUCACUUCUCUCCAACAUGCCCCAAGGCAUGCUGAGGGGAGGCUGUGAGUCAGUGGUGUGAAGCUGAGGGAUGCAGUGACGUCAUGGCAGGGCCUGCUACUUUUGGCUAAAAUGGUUCACUCUCAAGAGGACAA